CAAGCCCAGGAGACAAUUCAGCACCUUCUUUUUGCUUGCAUCUUUGCUCGGCAAUUUUGGCACAAAAUUCUUAAUGCUCUUGGCUUGGGACACCUCACUCCCACAACUGACGAGGAGUCUUUUGCAGAAUGAAGGGUGAGCCUCAGGGUUUCCAAGAGCAGAAAAAAGGGCUUAACUCCUUGAUCAUCCUGGAAGCUUGGUGUCUAUGAAUCCAGAGAAACAUAACAAUGUUUGAUGGGGAGUCCCCCUCACUAUCUAGAAUUCUUUGAAGGUUCCUAGAUGAAUGUACUAGCUGGCUAUGGCAGGAGCUGAAGAGCUAAAGUGCUUAGGCUUAGUUGCAGCUCUUAGCGAGGUCGGGUCAAGUCUUGGUUCCGGUUUGUAAUGUCCUACAUUUGUAUGGCUUUUCUUCCUCUCCUUUAUAUAAGAUGUGCAGUUCUCAUGCGCAUUCAAGGAAAAAAGUACUAAAUGUACAGUAACUGAGUUCUACCUACUGAUAAUGAUAUACAAAACAACACUUCGCCAAGAUACAUGAUCUCAGAGAAAUCACACUGAAAAUUGUAAUCAGACCCUCCAAGAUAAUGCCUUGUAGGCUAUAACUACAAAAUCAUACAGCAUUGCAAAACUUAAUUCCGUUGUAACUUAAAUUGUCUGAGUAGCCUAAACCAGCUCUAACAAAUCUAGACUAGUAACACAACUUAUUCCUACAAUACUAUCUUCUUUCACUGCUACAUUAUAGAACUAUUGCUCUUUAUUUACAUCUUAACUCAAACAGACAGUAAUGAAUCAAACUAUAUACAACGAAUAAACCAGUCACCUCAUGCCUUUAUUAGGCCUUAUUCGGUUAUUCUCAUUCCAUGUUGAUAAGAUGACAUUGGAAGAAAUUAGAAAGAAUUUUGAUUCGUUAUGGAUUUAAACCCACUCAAUCCCGUUCAAUCCAUAUAGAUUAAGAUUAAAACGAACGGGCCUUAAGAUGCUCGUAACUUCCAUUGCUGUAUUGCUGCAUGCAAGGAAUGGUUGGGAAUUAUGGAUAGAUGUGGAAGCCUCUGAUUUGUCAUUGGGGAUAUCUUGUGUUUUUCGAGCCAAGCUUUGAUUGCCCUGUGUUCAUAGGUGUGCCCAUCUGCAGCAACGUAAGGAUUUUCCAUUACCUCCUGCGUCAAAAUUCAUCCAUUUAGCUGCUUAAGUGGCAAACAGGAAAAUGGAAAUGUUGAUGUAAAGUAUCUGGCCAAUUUUACCUGCAAUAUCGGACAGAAGAAGUGGCUUGGUGCAAGGAUAUUUUCGAGUUUGAGAGAAACAGUAACCCUGCUCAGGAUAUUUUCGAGCUCUGGAAGCACCACUGACUCAAGGUUAGGUCUGUCCCUGCAUUUUAAGGCAGUACACCACAACCCAAGUUUUGCCAACAUCUCAGCCUCAGCAAUUGGCCAAUCAGGUUGAGACUUGUCGAGGAUGUCUGAUAAUAUCCCCCUUUUAAUCCCUUCUUCUACACUAUUUACCAGCCCAGGUGGACGUUUGCCAGUUAGGAGUUGAAGAAUGAUAAUACCCAAAGCAUAAAGAUCUGAUUUUGGUCGAACAGUCCCAGUUAAUUGGUACUCAGGAUCCAUGUAAUACAGUGUGCCAGCGAUGACAGUGUCUCUGUACUCUGUGAGCCCUUCUGGCACAAGAUCUGAUAUGGGCUUUGCAAAACCAACAUCACCAAUUUUGCUUACGUAGUUCUUGUCCAGCAAGAUGUUCCCAGGCUUUAGGUCACGAUGGACAAUGGGCUCUGGUUUCGUCCCAUGCAAGAAAGCAAGCCCACAAGCCACAUCAAAGAUAAUUUGGAACCGAAGAAACCAAUGGAGUGGCUGCCCUUUAUCGUUGAUAAGUAGAUCUUCUAAACUCCCGUUCUCCAUGUAUUCAUACACAAGGCAUCCAAUUUCAGGACAAAAGCCAAGCAGUAAAACCAAGUUGGGAUGGUGAAGUUGGCCGAGAAUCUCCACCUGUCACACAAUAGAUCAAUGUAAUGAAUCAUUUAACCACAUGGUAUGUUAUGGUUAUGACAUAGUACAACUGAUACAAAAUCUAGCAAGUUCGACAAAGGCCAAAAAACACAUACAUGCAACUUGAGGUUUCAAAACCUAGACAAAAAAAGUAAUUGACUAUGUCCAAUGAGAAAAUCAACAACAUAUAAAUGGCCGUACCUCUCUCAAGAACUCAUCAAUCUUGUUGAUCGAAUCUUGUUCAACAACUUUAACAGCUACUUCGGUGUGGUCAAGGGUACACCUGUAUACAUUCCCAUAGCCACCCUCACCAAUCUUCUUUGCAUCAGAAAAGUAAUCAGUGGCGAGCUCUAUUUCAUGUUUCGAGUACCGCCUGCAACUUUUGCCUGUUGAUAAAAGGGCAUCCACAGCCUUAGCAUUCUCAGCCUGGUGCUUGGAAUAGGUCUCGUGUGUAAAUGCAUUUUUUGCCAUCUCAACUGCUCCAAUUGCUUCUAAAUGUUUGUUUUUCUCAUCUGGAACCGUCUGUUUCAAUACUUCCUCUCUCUGUAGUGCGUCUUGCACCUUAUUCACAUCUUCACAGCAGUCACUAGAAAAUAACUGAAUCUGAAACAGUAGAGGUUAAAUAGGCAUGUAAGUAAAAAUCUUCUGUCGAAAGGGGGAACCAAGGAUACUAACUAAAAGCCUUAAGUUUGGACUGAAAUAGUGAAUGCCACAGUAAAUCAAUAGACAGCUAUUUAAAAUAAAACUUUACUUUUAAGGGCCAUGUAGGGCACUAUCAUGCAUGACUGACCUUUUUACUAGCAUGGGCGAGAUUUCCACAAGCUCUGUCAUACAUCAUCAAAGUAUCCUUCAGCUCCUUCCUCAGUUUUUCUUCUUCAUCUAUAUGUUGGUACUGGAAAUGAAGCCAGAAAACAAAGUCAGUGAUCGUAUUAAAUUAGAGUAUUUCCAGAAAUGAUUUGAUGUAUCUGAAAGUAAGCAUUAGACAGAAUGUUCUCAAGGCUGGAAAAAAGCUCUGACCUCUUCAACUGAGCUUAAGGCAACAUAAUGAACUUCCUUCAAUUGGCCGAUAGCAUCAAAAUCUUUGUUCCUUUCUCUCCCAGGUGUCCUUCGUCCUAAACUUCCUAAGAAACCUCUUCUAUGACUUUCUGAACUUUUAACGGCGAUGGAAGAAGUGCUUAUAGAACUGCAGACUUGAGAGAAUGAGCCUGAAAUAGAAUUUUCAGAAUAUUUUGGUAUCUCAUCAUCAGCCAGAUUAUUCAAAGCCUGUUUGUCUUGUAGCCAGUCCCUCUGUAUUUGAUCAAAUGCUUUAUGACUUAUUGACUGAAUCCGAAUAGAAGCGUUCGGCUCUGUAAAGAAACAUAUAUUUGGGGGGAAAAGAAACUCAAUAUGAAUAGUAAACAAAGACAAAAGUAUUGAAGAAAAGGAAACUGAGCAAUACAUACUGCUACUUCGAGCCUGAUUUGCAAUUUUUAUUGUUAACCUGCGCCGGGACACGACAAAUAUGUUGCACGAACUUGGUACGGUUUUCAGAAUUGUAAAAGGCACAUCUUGGAGUCGUAAAAUCCUGAAAAAAAAAUAAUAGCACCACUUGUCAAUGAUUGACCAAAAAUCAAUGUGACAAAAUUCAGAAUAUAAACAUACAAACCCAUUAUUUUAGUUCUUCUCUUCUUUUGAACUGGGCGAUGCCCAUUUUUUAUUCAAAAACAAUAGCAAAUAUAUUUUUGUUAUUAUUAUGCAUUUGAAGUGAAGGGCGGGCCUGGUGCAGCGGUAGAGCCUACCGCCUAUAACUGGAAGGUCUCAGGUUCGAGCCCCAGCUUCUGCAUAUUAUGCGGGUAAGGCUUGGCGCUUAAAGAUACCCAUCCCCAGACCUCCUACGGUGUAGGAAGCCUACGGCACUGGGUACGCCCUUUAUUAUGCAUUUGAAGUAUAACUCUGCCUAUGUUGCCUUAACAUAGCUAGUCCUAAGCGCUGAUAAAGGAGGGUUGUGUUAGGCUUGGCGAGCCAACGUUAAACCUAGUCAUUCUAAUGGAGAUAAAAUCUGAAAGAAAUCCGUUGGGGUGUAAACCUCAUAGCAACGCGCCAUAUCGGAACUCGGUAUUGUGUUAAAUGGGCAAGGGUCGGAUCGUCACUCUCUUGGGUGACGUGUCAUGUCGCAAUCUACGCAUGGUCUCAAAUGAGCAAGGAUCAGGUCGCUACUCUCUUAGUGGCAUACUACGUUAGCGUCUAGGUGUGAUGAAAAAUGUGCAAUGGUCUUCGCAUCACUGACAGGUGUGAAGGGUAAGGAAGCUAGUCAAACCAACUAGGAUUCGCUUAGGUAGUUGGUGUAGGGUAUUUUACAAGUAAGUUAAGGGAGUUAGUUGAGACAGCGACUAGGAGGCAUAUAAAUAUCUUAUACAUUCAAGAGACUAAAUGAAAGGGUCAGAAGACGAAGGAGGUAGACAAUACCGGCAGGGGCAGAGCCAGAAAAAAUUUAGGAGGGACUGAACUAAACUGCUACAGUAUAUGAGGCCCUCCUACAUUAUAUUGUAUAUGGUUUAAAUUUUAGGGGGCUUCAGUGGGGCUCCAUGGGCUCGGGAGCAGUAGGAGGGCUCAAGCCCCGCCUGCCCCACCAAUACCUUCAUCACUGAAUAUCGUCUUCAAGCUUUGGUACACAAGAACUGCAAAUGGAAAUGGAGCAUGAAUUUUGAUUGAUAAGAGUCUUAAGAACGGUGUGGUGGAUGUGAAGAGGCAAGGAGAUUGGAUUAUCUUACUCAAGCUUGUUAUAGCUGAUUUGGUCUUGAACACAAUUAGUGUGUAAGCCUGCCAAGUAGGCCCAAUGAGAGUGCUAAGUGUUUUUUUCUAGGAAAACUUAAAUGGUAUGGUUAGAGAUGUACCUAUUAGUGAGAAGCUUUCGAUAGGAGACCUCAAUGGGCAUGUAGGUACAAAAAGUGCAAGUUUCAAGACGGUUCAUGGAGGUUUUGGGUAUGGUAGUAGAAAUCAGGGGGGAGAAAAAGUGUUGGACUUCAUAGUAGCUUAUGACCUAUUGAUAUCCAACACCUUCUUUAGGAAGAGAGACUUAUUUAGUGACCUAUAGUAAUGGAUAGCGUCAGAUUGACUUUGUCCUUACAAGAAGAGAGGAUAAACGAACAUGCUUGGAUUGUAAGGUGAUACCUAGAGAGUAUAUUGUCUCUUAACAUAAGUUUGUGGUGACGGUCUUAUGUUUUCAGGUGCAUGCCCAUAUGGAUAAACAAGCCAGGAUUGUGAGAACAAAGUCUUCAAGGAAAGAACCAUCAAAGAGGGCACUUGGAAGUAAGAAGAUGACACACACAACAAGUGGAAGAAGAUGGAGUAACUAAAGGGAGUGGAGGUGAAGCUAAAGACACUUGGUGGUGGAAUGAGAAAGUCUAAAAAGCUAUUGAGGAGAAGAAAGAAUGCUACAGAUGUUUGUACAAUUAUAGGAGUGUCAACAAUAUCGAGAAGUACAAGGAAGCAAAGAAGACUGUAAAACGAGUUGUAAGUGUAAAAAGGGGUAAGGCGUAUGAGGAUCUUUACCAACGCUUCAGUACGAACGAAUGAGAAAAAGACAUAUAUAGGAUGGCUAGGGUUCGUGAGAGGAAUACAAGAGACUUCAACCAAGUUAAGUGCAUUAAGGAUGAAACAGAGUAUCUCUUGGUGAAGGAUGACGAGAUCAGUCAUAGAUGGCAAGAGUACUUUGACAAAUUAUUCAAUGGGAGAAUGGGACACAACCUUUCAAUUGGAUGACUCUUUUGAUGACACUAAUAGACGAUUUGUGCAUAGGAUCUAAUAAUCUGAGGUUAGGGAGGCAAUGAAAACAAUGAAAGAGGGGUAAGGCGAUGGGCCCUGAUGGUAUCCCAAUUGAGGUAUGGAUAUACUUCAGGGACAUAGCUAUAGUAUGACUAACCAAGUUGUUCAACCAUAUCUUCCGAUCGAAUAAGAUGUUUGACGAGCGGAGAAGUAUAUUGGUACCGAUCUACAAGAAUAAGGAAGAUAUUCAAAGUAGUACUAAUUGCCGAGGAAUUAAGUUGAUGAGCCAUACUAUGAAGCUAUGGGAGAGAGUUAUCGCGCAUUACCUCAGAGGAAUAACAAGGAUAUCUUUCAACCAAUUUAGUUUCAAGGUCAACCAUGGAAGUCAUUUUCUUAAUAAGACAUGUGAUGAAGCAGUAUAGGAACAAAAGAAGGAUCUAUACAUGGUUUUCAUUGAUUUGGAGAAGUCUCAUCACAAAAUAUCAAGGAAUGUUAUGUGGUGGACUUUGAACAAACAUAAAGUUUCAACGAAGUACGUUAGACUCAUUAAGGACAUGUACAAGAAUGUUAUGACUAGUGUCCGAACAAGUGAUGAGGACACAAAUGACUUCUCAAUUAAAAUAGGACAACGACAAGUAUUAGCUUUGAGCCCUUACCUUUUUGCCUUGGUGAUAAAUAAGGUCACAAGAGAUAUAUAAGAGGAUAUCCCUUGGUGUAUGCUUUUUGUUGAUGAUGUAGUGCUAGUUGAUGAAAGUUGGGUAGGAGUAAAUAAGAAACUAGAGUUGUGACGGGAGACUAGAUUCUAAAGUUUUUAGACUCAGUAGAACUAACAUAGAAUAUACGAGAUGUGAUUUUGGCACUACACAUGAGGAAUAUGUUAGUUUAAAAGGUCAAAUAGUGUCUAGGAAGGACAUCAUUAGGUACUUAAGAUCAAUGCUAUAGAGAAAAGGGAAUAAUGAUGAAGAUGUUAGCUAUAGAAUCAAGCAGAGUGGAUGAAGUGGUGUCAAGCAUAUAUCGUUCUACAUGACAAGAGGGUACCACAAAAGCUAAAAGACAAGUUUUAUAGGAUGGCGAUUAGGCCUGUGACCUGCUAUGUUGUAUAAUGCAAAAUAUUGCCAUCCCAGUUUAUCUUUUCCUUGCAAUGAAUGUCCCUAAGUGGGUGAUUCACAAAAUUGAUAAAAUCAGAAAAGGAUUUGUGUGGAGAGGGAGAAAAGAGGUGAAUGGAGGUAGCUGCCUUGUGGCAUGGGAUUCAGUCACAAGACCUUUGAAGUAUGGUGGGCUUGGGAUCCCUAAUUUACAACACAUGUGUUGGGCCCUUCAAGCCAAAUGGCUUUGGCUUCAAAAAACAGAUCGGGAUAGGCCUUGGCUUGGCUUGUCCAUCCCCAUUCAGCAACAUGUUAAAGACCUUUUUGCUGCAUCUCUGAUUUCUCAUGUGGGAAAUGGCUCUAAUACCUUGUUCUGGACAGAUAAGUGGCUUAAUGGAUGCUCCAUCAGAGAUCUUGCUUCAGAAGUGGUGUCCAAGGUGGCUAAGCGAGCUCUUACCUCUAUGACAGUGGUUCAGGCUCUUGAAAACAGGCAAUGGAUUGCACAUAUCAACCCCCCCCCCUUUCCUUGAUUGGAAUUCAGCAAUUUCUUUUCUUAUGGGAUACUUUAGGAGAUGUGCAGCUUUCUCAGGAGGAGGACCGCCAUGUUUGGAGACAUGAGACAUCAGGGGUGUUCUCCUCUAAAUCCUGCUACAAGGUCCUUUUAUUAGGUUCUACUGUCUUUGAGCCUUGGAAGAGAUUAUGGAAGACCUGGGCUCCUCCUAAAUGCAAGUUCUUCCUUUGGUUGGCAAUAAGAAACAAAUGUUGGACAGCUGACAGAUUACAGUUGAGGGGACUGCCACACCCAGAUGUUUGCCCAAUGUGUGAUCAAGCCCAAGAGACAAUUCAGCACCUCCUUACUGCGUGCAUUUUUGCCCGGCAAUUUUGGCAUACAAUUCUUGCUGCUAUUGGCUUGGGGCAUCUCACUCCGACUGCUGAUGAGGGAAACUUUUCAGAAUGGUGGGGAAAGGUGAGCCUUAGAGUUAUCAAGACCAGGAAAAAAGGACUUAACUCUCUGAUCAUCCUGGGGGCUUGGUGCCUAUGGCUUCAGAGAAACAGAGCAGUGUUUCAUGGGGAGUCUCCUUCAUUGCCCAGGAUUCUUAGGUGUUUCUCAGAUGAGUGUGUUUGCUGGGUUUUAGCAGGAGCUAAGGAGAUCGGUAGUAUGGGCUUAGUUGCUGCCCUGGGCGAGGUCGGGUCUAGUUUCAGUACUUCUAUGUAAUUGCUUUCGGAAUUUUGUGGGUCUUUGGGAGAUUUGCUUUGCAACAUCUCCUCUUUUGUAAUGUUUCUCUUCCUCUUUAAUAUAUAAGAUGCGCAGUUCUCCUGCGCGUUCU
rnacentral:lncRNA from 1 species